UACGUAGGGGGCAAGCGUUGUCCGGAAUUAUUGGGCGUAAAGAGCUCGUAGGCGGCUUGUCGCGUCGUUCGUGAAAACCUGCAGCUCAACUGCAGGCUUGCGGUCGAUACGGGCAGGCUGGAGUUCGGUAGGGGAGACUGGAAUUCCUGGUGUAGCGGUGAAAUGCGCAGAUAUCAGGAGGAACACCGGUGGCGAAGGUGGGUCUCUGGGCCGAUACUGACGCUGAGGAGCGAAAGCGUGGGGAGCGAACAGG
rnacentral:rRNA from 1 species